ACAACCUCAUCAACUCUCUCAGCCAUCUCCCUAGCAUUGAGCGAAGAGUUAUUCACACCAGACUCUUCGUCAUCAACAAUCUCUUCCCCUAGAAACCGACUCACCAUCGACCUAAGCCUCUCUCUAGACUCCUCAAUCUUCGCACGCUCCUCUCCAGCUUCUCCGCAAGACUUCUCCUGCCUCUCCCGCAGCUCCGCCAGCUUCUCCCUACACGCAAGACUUCUCCUGCCUCUUGUGUGUUGUGACUAUCUGUUCAAGCUUCAAUGGCAUCUGUCCCUGGAAAGGAUCUGGAGUCCUAGAUGCAGUGUUGCUGUCAGUGUAGGCUACUAAUCUUUUGAGGAUGCACAGGUUCGAAUUGUUGCAGUUCAAGCUCUUACAACAAUAGUUCAAAUUUGCAUUUUUCUUUAAAACACAGACACCGCAAGGUUUGAUGUUUUGAGUAGAGAAGUUAAAAUACUUUAAGUCAUUUGAGUUUGAUGUUAUCAUUGUUGUAAAACAUGAAAAUAGAGUUUAAUGUUUAUUAUUGUUACUUUAUAAUGUUAUAAAACAUGAAAAUAGAAUUUGAUAUUUA